rnacentral:misc_RNA from 1 species
GGGGGCUCUCCAGCUGAAGCAAGCAGGAGAGAGCAAGGUGUUCUCCAAGCUGUUCACCAGGGAGAGCUCGGCAGCGGCGCCGUCCUUCCGGGUGUACUACGGCGUCGCCUCGGCGGGCUCCGUGCCCUUCCUGUGGGAGUCGCAGCCGGGCACGCCCAAGAACGACGCCGUCUCCACGGCCACCCUGCCGCCGCUCACGCCGCCCCCGUCCUACUACACCGCCAGGCGGCAGCAGCACGCCGCGGCCGCGCGCAGCCACCACCGCAGGACCAUGUCGUCCUCCUCCUCCUCCUCCUCCGCCGCCGGCGGCACCGGCAGGAACAAGAAGAAGCUGCUGUCGGCCAAGCAUUACACCAGAAUCUUCAGCGCCAUCCUGCCCAAGAUGAUCCUGCACAGGUGGUCGUCGGCCACGUCGUCGCCCUCCGCCUCCUCCUCCUC